AUUGAACGCUGGCGGCAUGCUUUACACAUGCAAGUCGAACGGCAGCACGGACUUCGGUCUGGUGGCGAGUGGCGAACGGGUGAGUAAUACAUCGGAACGUACCCAGUAAUGGGGGAUAACUAUCCGAAAGGAUAGCUAAUACCGCAUACGCCCUACGUGGGAAAGAGGGGGAUCGCAAGACCUCUUGUUAUUGGAGCGGCCGAUGGCUGAUUAGCUAGUUGGUGGGGUAAAGGCCUACGAAGGCAACGAUCAGUAGCAGGUCUUAGAGGACGAUCGGCCACACGGGAACUGGGACACGGUCCAGACACCUACGGGAGACAGCAGUGGGGAAUCUUGGACAAUGGGCGCAAGCCUGAUCAGGCAAUGCCGCGUGCGUGAAGAAGGCCUUCGGGUUGUAAGGCGCUUUUGUCAGGGAGCAAAUGCUUGUGGCUAAUACCCACCGGGGAUGAGAGUACCUGAAGAAUAAGGACCGGCUAACUACGUGCCAGCAGCCGCCGUAAUAC
rnacentral:rRNA from 1 species